ACCCGUUUGAGUGUCGUGAAUUCUCAAAAACCUUUCUUUGGAAAGGAUUUUGGACUUGGAGGCUUUUGCUGGUUUCACCUUGAAGCGAGCUCCUCCCAAAUGGAUUAGUGGGGUCUGCUUUGCUGAUCCUUGACGUGAUAAGAUGUUUCUACGUCUUGGGUUUGGCACUGUCACUUGGGCACCCGCUUCUAACCGUCUCAUCGACAAUGAUGGCGUUCCGGUCGACCACCGUUUCAUCGGUGGGAGGCUUGACCCACCACAAACCUUGACCUCAAUCGGGUGAGACUACCCGCUGAACUUAAGCAUAUCAAUAAGCGGAGG
rnacentral:rRNA from 1 species